UGAACGCUGGCGGCGUUGCUUAACACAUGCAAGUCGAACGAAGCACUUGAUUUGAUUUCUUCGGAAUGAAGAUUUUGUGACUGAGUGGCGGACGGGUGAGUAACGCGUGGGUAACCUGCCUCAUACAGGGGGAUAACAGUUGGAAACGACUGCUAAUACCGCAUAAGCGCACAGGAUUGCAUGAUCCAGUGUGAAAAACUCCGGUGGUAUGAGAUGGACCCGCGUCUGAUUAGCUGGUUGGUGAGGUAACGGCCCACCAAGGCGACGAUCAGUAGCCGACCUGAGAGGGUGACCGGCCACAUUGGGACUGAGACACGGCCCAGACUCCUACGGGAGGCAGCAGUGGAGAAUAUUGCACAAUGGAGGAAACUCUGAUGCAGCGACGCCGCGUGAGUGAAGAAGUAGUUCGCUAUGUAAAGCUCUAUCAGCAGGGAAGAUAGUGACGGUACCUGACUAAGAAGCUCCGGCUAAAUACGUG
rnacentral:rRNA from 1 species